rnacentral:rRNA from 1 species
UACGUAGGGGGCAAGCGUUGUCCGGAUUUAUUGGGCGUAAAGAGCGUGUAGGCGGCUUUACAGGUCCGUUGUGAAAACUCGAGGCUCAACCUCGAGACGCCGGUGGAAACCGUAAAGCUAGAGUCCGGAAGAGGAGAGUGGAAUUCCUGGUGUAGCGGUGAAAUGCGCAGAUAUCAGGAGGAACACCCGGUGGCGAAGGCGGCUCUCUGGGACGGUACUGACGCUGAGACGCGAAAGCGUGGGGAGCGAACAGG